UACAGAGGUCCCGAGCGUUGUUCGGAUUCAUUGGGCGUAAAGGGUGCGUAGGCGGCCUGUUGCGUCCGCUGUGAAAUCCCGGGGCUCAACCCCGGGCCUGCAGUGGAUACGGGCUGGCUAGAGGCAGGCAGGGGAGAACGGAAUUCCUGGUGUAGCGGUGAAAUGCGCAGAUAUCAGGAGGAACACCGGUGGCGAAGGCGGUUCUCUGGGCCUGUACUGACGCUGAGGAGCGAAAGCGUGGGGAGCGAACAGG
rnacentral:rRNA from 1 species